rnacentral:rRNA from 1 species
GAUGAACGCUGGCGGCGUGCCUAAUACAUGCAAGUCGAGCGAACGGACGAGAAGCUUGCUUUUCUGAUGUUAGCGGCGGACGGGUGAGUAACACGUGGAUAACCUACCUAUAAGACUGGGAUAACUUCGGGAAACCGGAGCUAAUACCGGAUAAUAUUUUGAACCGCAUGGUUCAAAAGUGAAAGACGGUCUUGCUGUCACUUAUAGAUGGAUCCGCGCUGCAUUAGCUAGUUGGUAAGGUAACGGCUUACCAAGGCAACGAUGCAUAGCCGACCUGAGAGGGUGAUCGGCCACACUGGAACUGAGACACGGUCCAGACUCCUACGGGAGGCAACAGUAGGGAAUCUUCCGCAAUGGGCGAAAGCCUGACGGAGCAACGCCGCGUGAGUGGUGAAGGUCUUCGGAUCGUAAAACUCUGUUAUUAGGGAAGAACAUAUGUGUAAGUAACUGUGCACAUCUUGACGGUACCUAAUCAGAAAGCCACGGCUAACUACGCG